GACAGAGGGUGCAAACGUUGUUCGGAAUUACUGGGCGUAAAGCGCGUGUAGGCGGCAGGGCAUGUCGGAUGUGAAAUCCCGUGGCUCAACCACGGAAGUGCACCCGAAACUGCCCCAGCUUGAGUCUCGGAGAGGAAGGCGGAAGUGCUUGGUGUAGAGGUGAAAUUCGUAGAUAUCGAGAGGAACGACCGGUGGCGAAGGCGGCCAACUGGGACGAAUACUGACGCUGAGACACGAAAGCGUGGGGAGCAAACAGG
rnacentral:rRNA from 1 species